rnacentral:lncRNA from 1 species
CUCAGAGCGAGAGGAGCAGGCUGCACACCAACAUCUCCCUCCGCAGGAGGAUAAACACCGACAUCUCUCUCCGGUGGCACAGAGCAAAGCAUCCCUGCCCCCUCUGGGCGCCCUGGGUGCACAGCCCAGCUCUGCCCGGGGCAUGCCCCCCAUCAGACAGGCCAUCUCCUUCGGUGCUCUGAACUUCUCCAGCUGCAGGCAGGCAGCUGCUGGCGAGCCCUGGGGUGCUGGGGAUGCCCCUCAGAAACGCUGCAGCUGGGAGCUGGAGCUGGAGCCGGACCCAAAGGGAGCAGGCAGGAGGGCACCUGGUGCCAGAGCACCUCUGGCAUGGACUGUAUCGACCCCUCUAGCGCUGGAGCAGCGGCGACAAGGCUGGGAAUGGGAUGCAGGGGAUGCUAAGCCUGUUUGGAGUCCCCAGUGCCCAAAAGCCGGUCACUCACGCUUCCAGGAUGGAUUUUCCCCUGUGGACCUGAACCCCUCCAGACGAGCAGCGGGUGGCCCCCCAGGCCACAGGAAGCAGAGGCAAUGCCCUCACCCUUCCCUGUGCUCAGCAGAAGACCCCUACUUCUCAUCACUCUCUCCAGAUGACCCUGUGUCCCCCGUGUUUCCCUUUCUGGAGGGGCAGGAUGAGCUCCUCCCUACGUGCUCUGCCAGUGCCCCGCCAGAGCCCACCACAGCCAGCUCCCCAUCAUCACACCAUGUUCCCCUGAACCAGGAGAGGAUCAUCUCCUCGGCCCCCCUGCCACAGCGUGAUGAUGAUGAUGAUGAUGCUCCACCCCUGCCCCAGCGCACCCCAGAGUCCUUCAUUGUGGCCAGUGAGCCAGGGCAAUUUCCUCAGGCCACUCCGGAUUUCCAGAUUCCAGACAGAAAUCCAAAUAUUGGAACCUCCUGGGAGUGGAGUGGUGAGUCUCACUCAAAAGGGUUUCAUGACCCUGUGAGUCUGAGACCAUGUAAGGUGAGAAUGGCCUUUCACCUCUUUUCCAGCACUAUUCCUAUGCCAAUCUCCUUACCAUAUUUCCUUCUGUGAGAAAGACUCUACUUUUUGGAACUUUAUAUUUGCCAUAAAUUAUUUCAUAGAAUAACAGAAUUAUGGAAUAUCUUAAGAAAAUCCCAUUCCACCCCCCAGCCACGGGCAGGGACACCUUCCACUAGACCAGGUUGCUCCAAGCCCUGUCCAGCCUGGCUUUGAACACUUCCAGGGAUUUCAGGGCUCAGGAUUGGAAAGAAGAUGGGUUCUUAUCAACACCUACUUUACUCCAAACAUCACUUUUUGGAAUUCUAAGACCAGUACAGGGUAAUAAACAUGUUGUCCCUCACUUAGAGAAGGAUAAUGAACACAGGACAUUAGUGUUCUGCUGAGUUUACACAGCCCUGUGGAGCCAACAGGAGCUGAACAAAAUUUAGGCGUCUGUUGAUCAUCCCAUAGCUGAGUGACAGCUCUGUGAAGUGGAAGAAUGAGGCACAAGUCUGUCUUCCUCUGCACAAGUGUGGAGGUGUAUGUGGGAGGGUGUUUGCACAUCACAUCCUUUCCUCGUCUUCUCUGGCUUCCUUGUGUGCAAGAAAAUAACAUUUGGAUGUGGGACUUUUAAAUACCUGCCUUGUUUUUUGUUUCCAGAGUGUGAAGCUUUGGAGCCCACGAACAGGUAAAAGUUUAACACUGGGAAAAUCUUUGGAAUUAAGACCUGCUUUUUUUUCUGAAACUGCUUUAUUUAGUAAAAGUGUUUAGGAUCUGUGCUCACUGCAACGGAAAUUGUUGCAAAAUAGUUCUGCAACUAAAUAGUUCCAACCAGAACUAAACAGUUCUGCAACAAAGUGAACUGGUAGUUUUAUGUUUCCUAAUCAACUCCUGCAUCAUCCUGUCCAUGAGGAUGUUCCUUGCAGUCUUCUCUUUGUCUGCAUGUUGUGAGUUUCCUUUGAGACAUCUGAGAUAAGCUGGUUGAUUCUAAUACGUAUAUAUAUAAUAUAAAAUUAUAUAAAUAUAAUUUUAAAGCUAAGUAACCAACUCUUUUAUCUUUGCUUUCUCAGAGACAACCCAGGAUUGCUCCAAUUCUCCUCCUCCGCUUCCUGAAAGAACCCCGGAGUCAUUUGUUCUCGCUGAGGCAGCAAGUAAGUGCUGAGCUCUUUUCUCAGGAUGCAACUGAGGUUUUACACUCACACCUAAACCUGUAGGUUUCUGAGAGCGUGGCCCACUUGUUCAAAGCAUCACCAGGUACUGCUUCAGCACUUCCCUGCAGGAGAGUUCAGCAAAUGCAACAAAAAUAAACACAAAUAGGGAACCUGCAGAAAAUUUCUAGAAGUGCUGCAUUAGUGGAGAUGAAAAGCAGCAAUAAAGCACUUGGAUAAAAGCAGGAGGAUUUGUGAAUGACCACUGAAAACGUAUGUAUCAUGUAUGUUCCCAGGUCUCCAGCCUGCUGCAAGAAGUUCCUUGAGUCUUGUGGGUUUGGAGAACAAGGGCUCAGGAACAUCAUCCAAAGAACUCGUUAAAUGCUUCAAGAGGAGCAAGGUAAAAGAAACAAAACUCUGGGAAAAAGUUGCUCCAGCGGGGUCUGAGUCUGUCCUACAAGGACAAAACCAUGGCCUGCCUCCUCUUGUUGAGCCUCCUGUUAAUUAUCCCCGUGAGAUUGUACUUCGGGGUGUAAUGGUGGAACAGAAAAGCGCUUGAGGAAAACAGCAAGAAAGUACAACCUGGAGG